GCACCACCGGCUGAGAAGCGCAUGUUCAGAUGUGUACCUGUGGAAGACCUUUCACGUUCAAACCACAGCACGGGUCAUGAGGAUUCCACCCCGCGAGGAGAGUGAUGCCAUCAUCACAGGAGUAGGAACGGCAUGGCUCUCUCUUCCCUUGCCAUCUCUCUCCUGUCUGCCUCGGCCGGUUCCUUCAGCUGCUGAGUUAUCGCCAUCACCCAGGAACCGCGGCAUCAAACAUGAAAGCCAUGUGUUUGAAGUUAAUCGUGGUAUUCUGGCACGAUUCUGUAUUCGAAAAGAAAAAUGUCGUGCUUUUAGCUGAAGCCCUUCCAUACCAAGCCACAUCAGCCAGAGAGGCAAGAACUGGGCUAAGUGAAUGGUAUCUUUGGAGAGGAACCGUUUCUAAUUUGAACUGUCAAUACAAAAACCACUGAAACCAGGAUUCACCGGAUUGAAACCAGGAUUCAUCGGUCUACAUGAAAGGGAAAUGUGUCCAGGUCUAGUGGUGCAGCUCUUCAGGAGGAAGUUCAAGUCCCACCUGGGGACAGAAUAGUUCAAAGCCAGACUGAAUAAUUUAGUGAGAGUCUGCCUCCACAUAGAAUAUAUGUUUAUAAAAGAA